GUUUUAAUAGUUUAAAAAAAAAACAAUGGUUUUGUAAAUCAUAAUUAGAAUAAAUUUUUCUUUAAAACU
rnacentral:tRNA from 1 species